CGGGUGAGUAAUGUAUGGGGAUCUGCCUGAUGGCGGGGGAUAACUACUGGAAACGGUAGCUAAUACCGCAUAACGUCGCAAGACCAAAGAGGGGGACCUUAGGGCCUCUUGCCAUCGGAUGUGCCCAGAUGGGAUUAGCUAGUAGGUGGGGUAACGGCUCACCUAGGCGACGAUCCCUAGCUGGUCUGAGAGGAUGACCAGCCACACUGGAACUGAGACACGGUCCAG
rnacentral:rRNA from 1 species